rnacentral:tRNA from 1 species
GCUUAAAUAGUUUAAUUAAAAUUUUAAUUUGUGGAUUUAAUGAUGUGGUUUAUUUACUUUAGGCA